CCCACCGCUGCCGCUGCUCCCUGCCUGCAGGGCUGCACAGCUCGCACAAAGGCUCCAAAGAAUCUUGGAGUGACCAUUUGGAUUGCCAAAACAGUGCAAUAAGGCGCUAACUGAGGGAAAAGGCAAGCGCUGGUUCAUCCCAUAUGCACUUAUGGAGAGCUGCGUGUCGUCUGUCCCCUCAACUGGGAGAAGAAAACUGAAUGGCUGAAGGUUUAGCACAGAAAAAAAAAAGCCAAAAAGCCAAAGGUGGAGAGGAAAGGACCAAAAAAGCAGAUUACAGUUUUGGAGUCAUCAGUAGGAGAGAACCCAGCAAACUGACAGACCUGAAAUCAUGUCCUUUGAUUGUAAUUGACAGGGAAAGCGUUUAAGGGAAGACCAUGUUAAGGGGUGGAUUUUAUACUUUGAUCUGAAGAAGCUGGGAUUCCCAGAAGACCUCAUCUCUUUGAGGAUGGAGACACGUUGUGGAUGCUUGUCAUGAUGUGUAUGAAAAGAAGUUAAGUUGGAACAAGGAGGAAAAAGAAGUAUUUUGGGUUUUCAUGAGAAAAAUGAUUUGGAGCACUACCUGCAAGUGCUCUCAGAGGCCGCUUGAAGAAAGAAGAAAGGAUUGGGGUAAAGAUUUUCAUGGAGAUUUUUAUUUUCACAUGAUCAAUCGUCCAACUGAAGCAAUGCAUGGUACAGAGGUGUGGGAAACAUGGCAUGCAACCUUACAUAGACUAAGAUAAGUUUCCAUAUUUGUUAAAUUUGUUAAGCUUGUUAUGUUUGUUAAUUUUUUACAAAUACACUCAAUUUUAAAAAUUAUUGGUUUGUAAAUAAUUUUUAAUCAGAAAUCAGAAUAUGGAAUCAGACUGAAUCUUUUGAAAAACAUUAUCUGUUGUAACCAGCACGUUCAACUGCAGUCAUAAUUCAUGUCAUUCAACUGCUGCAACUUAUUCUUCUAGUUUUUCUAGCAUAUGGAUUUAACCCCUAUGCGUAAGUUUUCACAAUCAGUCAAGGUUAAAUUCAUCUUUGAUGUAAAACAGUUUUUUCAAUGAAGUGUUAAAAUUUGCUAGAUCUUUAAUGUGAUUAAUUAUGAAAUCUGAAGUUUUGAUAAUUUUUUCAUCAUCAGCACUGAUCUAAAAGUAGGGUUUUUUUAAGUCUCCAUCUCUGAAUACUUUGGCCUUACAUUUUCUUUUGAAAUAUUUCAUUUAAUGCACACAAUGUCUUGAAGGCUGCUGUCUUAUUCUCUACAUGGCUGAAGAAUUUUCAGGUUUGCUGAACUUAAAAUCAAACUUGUGCUGUACCAUGACACUGAUUUAUCUUAUUUUGUCUGGCUUGGCAUCUCACAUCAGAUCUGUACUUUAGGAAAAGAGACACAUAACACAACUUAAAGUUUGCUUCAAUCAAAGUAUGAAUUUCUGCAGUGAUGGCUUUGGAACACUUCUAGUUACUCUGUUUUUAUUUCAGUACUUUGAUAAAUAGUGCCAUAACUCUUCCUUCUUUUACUUCAUCUGAAUUUGUGCAUCAAAAAUGAUCUCAAAUGAUAAGGUCUCUCAGGCAGAUAAACCCAGCCCUUCCAAUCUAGGAAUAAAAAUCUUUUUUGCCUUUUAAGGUUUGUUUUUUCUAAAAUUAAAAUGGUCUCAAGUUGUGGUCUGGGGUUGCCUAGAUAUUUACUGCCCAUGUGUAUCCGUGUAGCUUGUUCACAUAACCAAAAUAGUUAUUUUUGUCUUCACAAAUAGAGCUCAUAAAAAUACCUAUUUGUGAAGUCAGGCCUUUUUAUAAGUGAACUAAUGAGUUAUUCUCAUCAAGUAACAAUUUACUGCAGUUAGGCGGAUUGGAAAGGAGAUAGAGCGGGUAAGGAAAUGACAGCAGAAGGUUCUAUUAUGUAGUUUUAACUUUCCAGAAGACUGCCAAGAUAGAUGGACAGGAAAAUGGGGGAGAAAGGAAGAGAGAACUGAAGGCAGAGAAAAGCUAAUGAGAACCAGUGUUAAAGAAAUAGUAGUACCCUGGUGUCAGUGAGGGAACACUUUGGAGCUCCACUGAGGGCAGUCACCUGUAAAACUCCCAGCAGGGACAGACCCAGGGAGAUGGGUUAUUGGGCUGUUAGCACUGAGCAUAAAAGUCCCACAGGACAACUCUGCUCAUGCUCAUAUCCUUGUACCCCCUGGGCUCAUUUCAGCUAACUGGUGGUAUUUGAUUAACAACAGAGAAACAGGACAGAAAGAGUCCAACAUUUAAACAGAAAUUUUGCCCUUUAUCUUGGUAUAAGUUAGUGGUUUAUAAAUGGAUGUCUUUGACUUUUCUGCAACUUGUUCCAUGUGGGAAAGAAUAAUGGCUGAACAGAAUUUUCUUUUUUAUAUGAAGAAAAUGAUCAGGAAAGUUGAACAUAAUGAUUUCAUGCCGUGACUAUAAUGCAAACACAUACUUAACCGUCAUUGUCUCCUCUUCAUAUAAUAACUGAAAACAUCUGUAUUGUGCACUGAAACAUUAUACGCUGCAUUACAAUUAGAAAUGUGCUGAAGUGUUGGAUUGGGUGUUUAUUUAUGGGCCAUGAAAAGUAAGAUUUUCUGCGCUUCUCAUGUACAGCUAAAUAGCCAUAGGUAGAGUACUGAAAAUUUUGGAACCCAGCAGUCACUGUGGGAAUGACUUCAUUAUUCACCGAAGGAGGUUUUUCCAGCAGAGCUGAGUUGCUGACAAACAAUAAUAAACAUUACUGAAAGUUGGAAACAAGAACUCAGGCAUGUUGAUUCUGACUGUAAAAAAUGCUCACGGGGCGUGGAGGGCAAGGCGCUCUCAAAAUGACAAGGUACUACAAUAGAGGGAUCCCAUUAGAGCUAUGCACAUACAUUUCCUCUAUUGACACAGAAGUGUUCUGACAGGCUCAGCAAACAAGCAGCUUCUCCUAGCUGCCUAGCCUUUACCUGUUGCCACAAGUAGUCUAGAAACAGAAAUGUAUUUUUAAUGGGCACACAAAUGUUUCAAUGAUGAAAUAUGCUCUGGUGGGGACAAAGCAAAUGUCUUCUUGGUGUAGCUUCUGAGAGCUUUUUUAGCAUAAAAGACAUCACUAUGUCUUUUGCUGAAGCACUUGACAGUUCAUGACCAUAGCACAAAAUAUUAUUUGAGAUUAAUUAUGUAAUAUUUGCUUUGUCUGACUGGUAUUUUACUGGUAUUUGAAACGAAAUGAUUGCUUAAAAAAGCUCACUCCACACUUAAUUAAUUUUGUAAAUAUCUACUAAGUGUCUUCCAACCUAAGCAGAUACAAAAUGCUCAGUAUAGUUUUCUCUGGAGCUUUGUUUUUUCUCUCUCCUCUGACUCCGGCUCAAAGUUUAAAGCGUAAAGUCCUGGCCUGUGCUUGUGAUGGUGGUGUUCACAAAGAAGGACACAAAGAGUUUAUGGAGCCAGUUUCUCACUGAGCAGCAGAACAAGGAAAACCUAUGCCAGCUGGGGAUUUAGGCUGUCAUUGUUACAUUAUCCUUUCAAAUGUAUUUACAAGAAGGAAUGAAUUUUACCGAUUGAGGCCUGAACUAAAUGUAAUUUAAUUCAUGGCUGGAGCAAUUUGAAUGGCUCACAUUUUCUCUGGCCAUUGAAUAUGUCAGUUAUUUACUGUCUCAGGUUUGAGUGCCUUUGGCUCUGCCAGAAAUUGUUGGUUGACUUUCAAAGUGGAUCCAGAUUUCUCUCAGAGAGGUCAACAGACAUGCAGGACUUCUGGAAGUGGCCCAGUUAAACAUGCAUCAUUUGCACUGAUUUUCCACAUGAUUAUCUCAAAUAGCCAUGGAAAGGCACAGUUAUCAAUCAAGAGGCUGAAGGAUUCAGGUCUGUACAAUAGAGAAAGCUGAAGACAGGAAGAGAAAGCUCAUUUUUCUUUGCUUUCCCAGUGUUUACUGGGAUCAUAGUUAUGAUGGCAAACUGAGUGUAGCUGUGAAGUAAGGCUGAUUCUGUCCUUCUUUAUAAUGAGAAACCAAAGGGUUUUCAGCCUGUAAUGCUGGAUUUUUUUGAACACAAGGUAGAAGAAAUUAAUUUUAUACCAGAGGAAUUCAGAUCAGCUGUCUGAAGUUAAAAUAACAAUUGUUAAAACAACUUAACAGUUGAAAAACUGUUGUUUGCCACUACUUUAGUGAGCUGUCCUCUUCCUCACUGCUCCCUAAGAUAAUGCUGAAAAGAUGAUCCAGAACAGUAAAUACACUGAAACUGGAUGGCAAACAUGUGAUCAUCCUUCAUAAUUUGUGCUCUCAUCUCAUGCUGAUGGCUGGUUUGAACUAGAAGAGGUGGCAGAAGCAUUUUUUUUCCCAAAAUAUGUUGCUCAUGUUUGUUAUCACUUACCUACAUGUAAUGAAGAAAGUAAGCCAGACUGCAGAGCCUUAGCAGUAGAUGAAGACCUGAAGGGACCUUCCUUCUCUAUUCUGGAUAGUCUGGAAAACAAGUCCCAGGCUGAAGUGCAGACUUGCAUGAUUCUAAUAUCAAUGCCUCGCUAACAGUACAGCCCUACAGCUUCAGGAGACUCAUUACUGCUAAUAAAUCUGUUAUAACUGGCUCAUAUUCCAUCCAGACACACCAUGGUUGUUCUCUGGAAGCCACUCUGUAGUAAAUGUGGGAGUGGUGGAAGCUCCUUGUCCUUCCAGGGGGAAGCUCCUUUCCUGUGGUCACUUAAAAUAUUGGGAGUUCUGUAGAAAAGUGAGAAGAUGAAUACACAUUUUCUCAAAGACAAUGCUGAGUGAUGUUUCUGUCUGCUGUUCUUCCUGCCAGGACUUCAGAGAAGAUCCAACAGACUGAUGGGAGCAGCAGUUCCUCUAAACAUACUUCCUUUCUUGCAGAUGCCUACCUAGAUCCCUACUUAUAAUGGUAUAUAUAUCUGUCAAGCUCAGGUCUGCCUUCAAUGGACUCCUUUUUUGUCCCCUUUUCACAGCAGGGAAAAACUCCAGCUUCCUGAUUGUUCAACAAGGAAGGUGUAGGUAAAUUGCUGAAAAUUGACCUGGAAGUUACAGGUUUACUCUAUCUUUAGUGAUUUAGUGUUUGAGAUAUUUAAUAAUAUCUUGAAAACUUCAACUAGAGCUGAAAAAUGGAAUUUUCAUGUCAGUAAAGGAUUACACUGAUUUAGCUGAGCCUGAUUUAUGUGAGAGGCACAAAAGUUAAAGAUGUCAUCAUUACAGUUUUUGUCACUCUGUGAGAAACAUCCUUCUUUUUCCCAUUACUGGAGAGAAUCAAGGGGUUAUUUGGCUCUCCAGAAUAUUAUUAUACAAAACAUAAAAGUAGAUUCUGAUCAUGUAUAUUCAACCCAUGUAUUCACAGGAACCAGAUUGUACAAACCCCAUAGCUUAAUUGGUAGUCUUAAUUAUCUAGUUCACAUCAGUCUAAUUUAUGUAACAAAACCAAGCUGCUCCAUAAUUCCCUGCUAGUAUGGGAUAGAAUAACUCCAUCAAACUCAACAGACCUACGUCAGCAUAUGCCAGUAGGGAAUUUAGCCUUCAUAUUCCAAGGAGCAAUAUGGCACAUGAUUCACUUUGGUCACAUUUUUCCCAAGGUCUUAUGUAAAAUAAAUUUAUUUUUAGUUCAGAAGAGAAAUGUUUGUACAGACAAAAUUGCAUGUUUGUACAGACAUUCCUAGAGAUCCAGAAAUUAUCUUUUUGUCUUCAAGAAGUAAAAUAAAAACCAAACAUCCUCAAAAGAGAAAACAAAAGGGCAAUUGCUGGGCUUGAUCCGGCAUCAUAUUGGAUGCUUUUGUGUUGAUGCAGCUGUUCCAGUGUCUUCAGCUACUGGUGAUGGACCAGAAUGAAGUAAAAGUCAGUGGGCAAAUUUUGGUUAUUCUAAAAUCUCAUUUUAGUGUAUGGAAAGAAAAUUUCAAAGACAACAAAUUCAGAGAAGCUGGUUAAGACAGAUUUUUAUGUAAGACUUUUAACACUGAAGUUGUUCAGUUUUGUGUUAAAUUGAGGGAGCUCCUUGGCAGGUUUUGGAAAAAGCUUUCAUUGAUCCAGUGAACUGAAGAUCUACAGAACAAACAGUUAAGAAACAUUAAAGAUUUGGAUUAUUGCUUGUCACUUUUUUUUUUUUGAGGAGGCUUUGGAAUUUCUGUGAAAGAUUAUGAGCUAUAAAUUAGUUCACACAAAAGUAUUCCUGAAACUUCUGUGUCAGGUUCUCAGAAAGUGCUCAAGACCAUGAUAUUUUUGAAGUAAUUAUUAUUGAUGCAGCUAAUGAUCCUGAAAUGAAAAACUGUCAAUAGUGAAAGGCAAGUUUGCAAGAGAAAUAUCCAUAUAAUUUCAAGAUCAGACUGUACAAAAACAUUUAAAAAUAUAUAUCCAUGGUUUUCUCCCUCUAGCUUGAUGUGAAGAUUCAAUUCUAAUUUUGUUUUGUCUUAAAGUUCAUGCUUUAAAAGUAAGGAGUUUUUGAUAAAUAAAUUUCAAGGGAAAUA